AUAAACUGUCAGUUUGGAGUUAAACAGCAGUUAAACGUCGGAAAAUAGGGAUUUUGGCUGUGAGCAGCUUUUUCCUUUUACAACCUUAAAGAUGUGACGAUGUUUGGAGGUCGACUGGCAGCGGGGAGUUUGUGAGAGUGGAUCAGAGUCGUUUUGGGGAGUAAUAGUGAGCGCCUCAUACAGCUGUCUGGAGGAGAACUGCGGAGCCUGGAAACAUAUGAUCUGAGAAGGUGUGUUGUGUCCUCCUGUCUGCUGCUACCAGGAUGCAGUUCUCAGUCAACCUGAGCCUC